rnacentral:rRNA from 1 species
AUUGAACGCUGGCGGCAUGCUUUACACAUGCAAGUCGAACGGUAACAGGCCGCAAGGUGCUGACGAGUGGCGCACGGGGGAGUAAUGCAUCGGAACGUGCCCAGUCGUGGGGGAUAACUACUCGAAAGAGUAGCUAAUACCGCAUACGAUCUAUGGAUGAAAGCGGGGGACCGUAAGGCCUCGCGCGAGUGGAGCGGCCGAUGUCAGAUUAGGUAGUUGGUGGGGUAAAGGCUCACCAAGCCAACGAUCUGUAGCUGGUCUGAGAGGACGACCAGCCACACUGGGACUGAGACACGGCCCAGACUCCUACGGGAGGCAGCAGUGGGGAAUUUUGGACAAUGGGCGCAAGCCUGAUCCAGCAAUGCCGCGUGCAGGAAGAAGGCCUUCGGGUUGUAAACUGCUUUUGUACGGAACGAAACGGCUCUGGUUAAUACCCGGGGCUAAUGACGGUACCGUAAGAAUAAGCACCGGCUAACUACGUG